CGUCCAGCCAAAGAGCAGCCAGAAGCAGCGGGAUCCUGCACUUUCUACAGGCUGCCGCACCGGCAAUUCGGUGCCAUGCUGACCAACACUGAGGUCCCAAAGAUACGCAGAGUCAAGGAGUAUCCACCUCACCCGGACACCCCCCGCUGCGUUGGUGUGCCCUCGAGCCGCUGCAAGAAGCACAGGACUCCUGCACUUUUAUGUGUCGCUGCGCAGUAUGCCUGCUGACUAACACGGAGAUCCCAAAGACUGCGCCGAGCCAAGGAGUACCAAUUUAGCCGGGCACCACCCGUUGUACCGGUGAGCCCUCGGGCAACACCCACAAGGAGAGGACUACUGCACUUGUAUGCUUGGCUGCAGAAGGAUUGGGUGCCUUGCUGACCAACACUGAGGUCCCAAAGAUGCGCAGAGUCAAGGAGUAUCCAUCUCACCCGGAAACCAGCUGCUGUAUUGGUGAGCCCUCGAGCAGCAACCAGAAGCACGGGACUCUUGCACUUUUAUGUCUGGCUGCACCCGAGCUUCGGUGCCUUUCUGACGAACACUGAGAUCC